AUCGGAAAGAAUUCAAGGAGGAAAUUUGUCAAAACUUCAAAAUAUUUAACCAAGAUUAUAAUUACUGAUGGAAUCGAGGAUUGAUCAUUUGUUUUUAAGGUGUUGAAUACUAAACUACCUGCACCAAACAGCAGCAGGAGCGCUGAAAAAAAUUGCUGGAUGUAAAAGAGAACAUUAGGCUGGCAUUUUGUGGAAAAUCUGGCUUCUAACCUGCAGAAGGCAAGGAGGACCUAGGACAGGUAAAAAAGUGCUAUUGGAAAGAAGACAAAAGACCCUUCUCUGUAAUCGUGGGAGGCAGAACAAAAGUAAGUGGUGACAAAGGAGAUUCAGGCAUUCAGAAGAAAGAACAAAAUGCUUUCCAGUGGUAAAAACAAUGAAAAAAACCAGAAUAGCUUACCUAGGGAAAAGGUUGAGUCUCCACCCUUUGAGAUAUUUAAGAGCAAAACAUCAUCAGGUGUCUCAAGGGUGACCUAAAUUUUGUUGAUGUUGACAAACCGAAGGGAAGGUCUGGAGAGAAUUCCGCAACCUCUUGGAACAUUAUGCAUUUGAGCAAUGUGUUGGACAUAGCUCUGUGAUUACGGAUAUUUAAA